rnacentral:rRNA from 1 species
GGUUAAGCGACUAAGCGUACACGGUGGAUGCCCUGGCAGGUCAGAGGCGAUGAAGGACGUGCUAAUCUGCGAUAAGCGUCGGUAAGGUGAUAUGAACCGUUAUAACCGGCGAUUUCCGAAUGGGGAAACCCAGUGUGUUUCG